AUAUUAUUAGUUAACGUUCGGUCGUCGUUUGGUCGUCCAACGGAUACGGACGAUAAAUACAGUUCGAUUAUUACGUAUAAAUCGAAUUAAUUAACGAGCAAUCGCUGUCACUCUAAUUGGACUAAUUAAAUAAUUGUGCGAAUCGAUACAGCUCGAUCAGUACUUCUUCCGUAUCUUCUUCGCUUAACCUAACCUAAAACUCGUUUCCUUAAUAUGACAGCCGAGGAAUUCGAAGCUGCGUGGCCGAGAUCAAUUGUUGCGAUUCAUGGUCGAAUCUUUUCAAGUCUAUCAUCGAUCAUCGAGUGAUGAUACGCAACUUUGUAGGAUACGCAAUGUGAAGGCUUGUUUCACGGAUGCCUGGCAUUCCACACGCUUCAUGUGCGAGAAACGAGCAAUCAACGUCAAGAUGACGAAUCUUAUCGAAUCUUGGUGAAUGUGGUUAUGUUUGGAUAAUUGGAGAUGAUUGGAUGAUAAAGAAGAAGUGUUGAAGUGUUGUUUUUGAAAAUGAAUUUUAUACGAUGCAAAUUUAUUCUUUUGGAUAUGAUGGCUAGCAUAGAAACUUUUUGGAAAUAUAUUGAGUAUUGUUAGAAUAUUAACAUUCUUUACAUGGAUUGUGAUCAAUAGAGAAAGGAUGAAUUCUUCCAAGGCUGAUACAGAAGAAUUAUUCUCCAAGAUUCUUAGCAAUUGAUAUCAAAAUCAGUCACUCUGAGGUUAAUAAACUUACUUCUAUAUCUCUUCCAAGAAUCAGAAUUUUAAUAAUCGUUAAACGCACCUCAUGAAUAUCAUACUAGUCUCGAUUAUCAACUCAAUUAUGGAAAACGACUAUGGAAAAUAAGAAAAAGCAGUACUCCUACAUACCAACAUACCCAUAACGAUUCUUGCCGGAAGUGGAACAUAAAAUUAGUCUCCAUAACAUCCUUAAAACUGUUAAAACACCGGUGUUCCACGAUGGAAUUCAAAGGAAAUCAUUUAAAAUCGUCUUGUAUCUAUCUGAUUCUCACACAUUUACCACGAUAACUAACAAUAUGUAACUCACGAGCAGUAGACUUAAAUAUAACUUCCGGCCAAUGUAGAGAGGUUAGGUUUCUUGAUAGCGAACGCCUUAUGAUACGCUACGAGAUCGUAGAAAACCAUGGUGAAAAAGAGAGGAAAUCGUGUUUUCAAAGAUCCGUGACAGUGUACGCUCGUGUAUUGUGCUCGUACACAGCGAUAACAACGCCACCGGUGGAAUAAAUUUACGAGGCUAGAUAACGAAGUGCUAAUUAGUCGUUGGUCAUAUCCUCGUCCAUCUAGCGAGGUUAUGUAGUUCGUUUAUACAAUUAAGUUGUGAAACAAGAUUGAACAUUGGCGACAAAUCUCAGGUGUGAAAAUGAGAUAUUUUCUCGAUUGCAUGUUUCGAUACGAUAUCAAGCGUAUAUUGAAUGGAUAUUUUCAUAUUUUAAAUAAAACAUUAAUUGAAGUGAUUGGAAAUUAAAUUUAAUGAAACUAAUAAUGAUAAAGGUAAAUUUUCUAUUGAGGAUUUUUCGGUAUAGUCAAGUUAGGUUAAUCAGGAAUCAAUUGGACAUACUUGUUCAGUUUCUUGAAAAAUAUUUUUAUACAUAGUGUAAACAUAUACAUUUGAUAUGCGAGACAUUCUUAAGGAAUUAUAGAUAUUAAAACAAAAAAAGCUAAUAGAUUAGUGAGUUUCUUGUACAAUUUUAUUAAAUAUAUAUAGAAAUGUAAAAAAAAAUGGAUUCUCAUAACUUUUAGAAUAACACUUAUCAAUAUUAGAAUAGUACUUACCAAAUGAAAUAAAAAAAUAAUAAACAUAGAUCAUAAAAUUAAUAUUUUCAAAAUUAUAAACAAUUUUAUUUUUAAGCAAGUGACUUUGAAUAUACGUAAGAUUUUAAAUUUAUGUGGAAAUAAAAGAAUAUUUUUAGAAAAUAUUUAAUCAAGAAAGAUCAAGUUAUUCGCUUGAAAAUUAAUAUUGUUUAUCACAUUGCCAUCAUCUCCUCUCCCUUAACUCAUUGCAGGUAUUAUUUUUCGAUUAUUUUUAUUAAAAUUUUUUUUGGCAUGUACUAUUUAUCUUUAAAGAUAUAAAUCUUUCUUUCUUAUCAUCUUGUAUACGCUUAAAACGUUAAAAUAAAUUCUAUUUGGUUGAAA